rnacentral:rRNA from 1 species
UCAAAGAUUAAGCCAUGCAAGUGAAAGUAUAUGCAUAUUUUAUAUGUAGAAACUGCGAACGGCUCAUUAAAACAGUUAUAAUCUACUUGACAUUUUUUCUAUAAGGAUAACUACGGAAAAGCUGUAGCUAAUACUUGCUUUAGCACUCUUGAUUAAGUUCUUGAGUGUGUACUUGUUAAGCCUUUUAAGAAAAAAGUUAUUAACUUAAGGAAUUAUAACAAAGAAGCAACACGUAAAUGGAUUUUCCAUUUUUUAGUGUGUAUCAAUCGAGUUUCUGACCUAUCAGCUUUUGAUGUUAGGGUAUUGGCCUAACAUGGCUAUGACGGGUAACGGGGAAUUAGAGUUCGAUUCCGGAGAGGGAGCCUGAGAAAUAGCUACCACAUCUAAGGAAGGCAGCAGGCGCGUAAAUUACCCAAUUCUAAAGAAGAGAGGUAGUGACAAGAAAUAACAAUACAAGGCCAAUCUGGCUUUGUAAUUGGAAUGAUGGGAAUUUAAAACCUUCCCAAAACUCAAUUGGAGGGCAAGUCUGGUGCCAGCAGCCGCGGUAAUUCCAGCUCCAAUAGCGUAUAUUAAAAUUGUUGCAGUUAAAACGCUCGUAGUUGAAUUUCAAAGAAUCGAUAUUUUAAGUAGCACUUCGUAGAUUAAUGCACAUAACUGAUACUACGUAUCGACUUUGUGAGCAUUUUUCUACUUAUGUGUUCUUUUAAUUAAAAUGAUUCUUUUUAAGAUCUUUCUUUUUUGCUUCGGCAUUUUAGGAGAUCUUGUUACUUUGAGUAAAUUAGAGUGUUCAAAGCAAACAGAUUGUAGCAUCUUUAUGCGUUUGAAUACUAUAGCAUGGAAUAACAAAAUUGAACAAGUCAGAAUUUUGUUCUUUUUUCUUAUUUUGGCUUAGUUACGAUUAAUAGGAGUAGCCUGGGGGCAUUUGUAUUCAGAUGUCAGAGGUGAAAUUCUUAGAUUUUCUGGAGACAAACAACUGCGAAAGCAUUUGCCUAAAAUACUUCCAUUAAUCAAGAACGAAAGUUAAGGGAGUGAAGACGAUCAGAUACCGUCGUAAUCUUAACCAUAAACUAUGCCGACUAGGCUUUGGAUGAAAGAUUUUAAAAUAAGAGUUUUUUCUCUGAGGAGUUAAAACUCUUAGAUUGCUUCCUUCAGUGCCUUAUGAGAAAUCAAAGUCUUUGGGUUCUGGGGCGAGUAUUCGCGCAAGCGAGAAAGUUAAAAGAAUUGACGGAAGGGCACCACCAGGCGUGGAGCUUGCGGCUUAAUUUGACUCAACACGGGAAAACUCACUAGUUUAAGACAAGAGUAGGAUUGACAGAUUAAUAGCUCUUUCUUGAUUUCUUGGAUGGUGAUGCAUGGCCGUUUUUAGUUCGUGAAUAUGAUUUGUCUGGUUAAUUCCGAUAACGAACGAGAUCUUAACCUGCUAAUUAGCGGCAAAUACGAUAUAUUCUUAUGUGGUAUUGAAUAUAGUUGAUUUGCUUAUUUUGAAGAAAAUAUUGGGAUACGUAAAUGUAUCCCUUUCCCUUUUCUACUUAAUUUGCUUAUCAUACUAUUUCUUUUUUGCGUAAGAAUGUAUUUGCUUGAUUGUAAAGCUUCUUAGAGGAACGAUGUGCGUCUAACACAAGGGAGUUUAAGGCAACAACAGG